AACGAACGCUGGCGGCAUGCCUAACACAUGCAAGUCGAACGGGAUCCUAGCUUGCUAGGUGAGAGUGGCGGACGGGUGAGUAACACGUGGGAAUCUGCCUUUUGGUUCGGGAUAACCGCGGGAAACUGCGGCUAAUACCGAAUGCCCUCGAGAGAGGAAAGAUUUAUCGCCAGAAGAGGAGCCCGCGUCCGAUUAGGUAGUUGGUGGGGUAAAGGCCUACCAAGCCGACGAUCGGUAGCUGGUCUGAGAGGAUGAUCAGCCACACUGGACUGAGAUACGGCCAGACUCCUACGGGAGCAGCAGUGGGAAUAUUGGACAAUGGGGGCAACCCUGAUCCAGCAAUGCCGCGUGAGUGAUGAAGGCCUU
rnacentral:rRNA from 1 species